CAGUCGCCACGGUAAUACGAAGGGGGCUAGCGUUGUUCGGAAUUACUGGGCGUAAAGCGCACGUAGGCGGACAUUUAAGUCAGGGGUGAAAUCCCGGGGCUCAACCCCGGAACUGCCUUUGAUACUGGGUGUCUAGAGUAUGGAAGAGGUGAGUGGAAUUCCGAGUGUAGAGGUGAAAUUCGUAGAUAUUCGGAGGAACACCAGUGGCGAAGGCGGCUCACUGGUCCAUUACUGACGCUGAGGUGCGAAAGCGUGGGGAGCAAACAGGAUUAGAUACCCGGGUAGUCCCUGUCUCUUAUAC
rnacentral:rRNA from 1 species